ACKUGGUGCGGGAUAGCCUUUCGAAAGGAAUCUUAAUACCCCAUAAUAUUUUGAAUGGCAUCAUUUGGAAAUUGAAAACUCCGGUGGGAUAGAGAUGGGCACGCGCAAGAUUAGAUAGUUGGGUGAGGUAACGGCUCACCAAGUCUGCGAUCUUUAGGGGGCCUGAGAGGGUGAUCCCCCACACUGGUACUGAGACACGGACCAGACUCCUACGGGAGGCAGCAGUGAGGAAUAUUGGACAAUGGGUGAGAGCCUGAUCCAGCCAUCCCGCGUGAAGGACGACGGCCCUAUGGGUUGUAAACUUCUUUUGUAUAGGGAUAAACCUUUCCACGUGUGGGAAGCUGAAGGUACUAUACGAAUAAGCACCGGCUAACUCCGUGCCAGCCGCCGCGGUAAUACAA
rnacentral:rRNA from 2 species